UUAGAGAAAGUGAUUUUUGAAAAGUUCUAAGUUGUAUACAUACUUUAAAUUUGCAAAUGUAAUUUACUACUAUAAAUUCCAUCUUUUAUUUUUUUUCUUUCAAAAGUUCCAGGUGAUGGCUGAUAGGGAGAAGAAAUUAUUGAUUCUAUUUUUUUCUUUGGCUAUUGUUUCAAUCUUUAAAGAUAUUCCUAUCAGAUUAUUACUACUGAGUUAUGAUAACCAACAACCAAUUCUUAGGAAAUCUCUUUGGCAAAUAUAUAUCAGUUUGAGUUUACAGAUUUAUAGAGUAAAUUAAUCAUUGAGGCAUGUGGCAGCUGGCUGCAGUGUGCUGUUGCGGGAGUUCAGAGGAAGGAUCACGUUGGGUUGUAGUCGGAGGUGAGAUGCAGCGUCGACAAAAUCUUCCGUUGUUUUCUUAUUUGCUCCAGUUUCUUCUCUUCUUUGUUUUUGUUUCAAAUUUGUUUGUUUGAAUUAAAUAACAAAGUUUAUGUUUUUCAUAAACUUUGCAGUUAACUGUUAUGUUGUUGUUCUCUUGCAUUGGUAGAAUGAUUUGGGACAAAUUUGUGAUACUUGCAAUGGUAUAUGAGAGUGUUGUUAACAGGUUGUGAAUGGUGUGGAGGCUGUUUCUUUCUGUUCCAUUUUUCCAAUUGCUUACACUUAUACCUAUAAGAUAUAAUGUUAAUUGUUUAUCUUAUAAGCUAUAAACUUAAUUACUUAAAUAAAUAUUCAUCAUGUGCUGAUUUCAAAAUUCUUAAAUCAUGUAAUAGGCAAUCAAAACAUAUUUUGAUUACGGCAAUUUGACCCUCUUUUACUCUUUUGUUAUGCCCUAUAGAUUUAUACCUAUUUGUGUUGGUAGAAUGUUGUCCAUUUCAGAUUAUAUCAACAGCAGACUCUAU